UAAAGCAAACAAGAAGAAGCAAAGCACAUACGGACCGUCCAACUAACGAGAUCCUUUAGCGGCGAGAACGUAGUGGUCGAAGCACUCAGCGAGAGACGUCAGCAAUGCAGAACGCAGACGGCAAGCAGACGGCGUUGGGUGGAUUCUGAGGGUCAAGGGAGAAAGGAAGAGCACGCGGAUUAGGACUGACCGAAGGACCAAUGUUGGGAUUCGAAGCAGAAGGCAGUUGCGGCUCCACGAAAGAAAGCUCACCAGCCACUGUCAGGUGCAUUUCGCUACUCGAAGAGGCAAGACGUGUGUCGAGUGAGCACCAGAACAACAGUUUGCAAUGUGGUGAAUACAGUGUAAAUCAUAGAUCCAGGACCUCAAAGAUGUGCGAGGCAUCGAUGCACCGUCGCUUCAUGCGUUGAGUGGGUGCCUUCCUCUCCCGUGCUUACCAGUCUACAGUGCGGUCGAGAAACACACCGGGGAAAGGGCCCAUCGAGUGAGCGUCACUAUGGACAGAAGGUCGUUCUGUUGGUACAGCUGCGAGAAACACUGAAAAGCAACAGUGACGGCACGCAAUAUACAUGCAAAUUUAGUGAAUGGGACGUGGCCUAGCGAAUCCAUGACCAAGUGAAAGGAAGAAAACACUAGCCAUUUAUUUACAUUCUCGCUUUCCGACUUUUUUUUUUGUUAAUUCGCUCCGGCAUAGAUGCGUUGGUGCUGCUAGUUUCGGUCGCAAGCUGCUAG